AAUGGGCGAAAGCUUGACGCAGCCAUGCCGCGUGGAUGAUGAAGGCCUUCGGGUCGUAAAAUCCUUUUCUAAGGGAAGAAAUCUUGUGGAGGAAAUGCCACAGGCCUGACGGUACCUUAGGAAUAAGCAACGGCUAACUCCGUGCCAGCAGCCGCGGUAAUACGGAGGUUGCAAGCGUUGUUCGGAAUUAUUGGGCGUAAAGGGGGCGCAGGCGGCUUGUUAAGUCUGAAGUGAAAGCCCGGGGCUCAACCCUGGAAGGCCUUUGGAUACUGGCAAGCUAGAGUACGGGAGAGGAGAGUGGAAUUCCUGGUGUAGCGGUGAAAUGCGUAGAUAUCAGGAGGAACAUCGGUGUCGAAAGCGGCUCUCUGGCCCGAUACUGACGCUGAGGCCCGAAAGCGUGGGGAGCGAACAGGAUU
rnacentral:rRNA from 1 species